rnacentral:rRNA from 1 species
UAUCUCACAAGUGUCUGCCUUAUCAACUUUCGAUGGUAGUUUAUGUGCCUACCAUGGUUGUAACGGGUAACGGAGAAUAAGGGUUCGACUCCGGAGAGGGAGCCUGAGAAACGGCUACCACAUCCAAGGAAGGCAGCAGGCGCGCAAAUUACCCACUCUCGGCAUGAGGAGGUAGUGACGAAAAAUAACGAGACCGUUCUCUUUGAGGCCGGUUAUCGGAAUGGGUACAAUUUAAACCUGUUAACGAGGAUCUAUGAGAGGGCAAGUCUGGUGCCAGCAGCCGCGGUAAUUCCAGCUCUCAAAGUGUAUAUCGUCAUUGCUGCGGUUAAAAAGCUCGUAGUUGGAUCUGCGUCUUAGGACUUGGUCCAUCCGAUUGGAUGUGAACUAAGAACCUAGACUAAUAUUUAGCUAGUUUUACUGUAUGUUACCUUAAUUGGUUGCAUAUAGUGGCUGGCAUGUUUACCUUGAAAAAAUUAGAGUGCUUAACGCGGGCUUAUAAUGCUUGAAUACUCGUGCAUGGAAUAAUGAAAUAGGAUCUUGAUUGGUGUAUGCCUAUUUUGUUGGUAUAAAACAUAAAUACAAUUGAGAUAAUGGUUAAGAGGGACGGACGGGGGCAUUCGUAUCGCUGCGUGAGAGGUGAAAUUCUUGGACCGUAGCGAGACGCCCAACUGCGAAAGCAUUUGCCAAGAAUGUCUUCAUUAAUCAAGAACGAAAGUCAGAGGUUCGAAGGCGAUCAGAUACCGCCCUAGUUCUGACCGUAAACGAUACCAACUAGCGUUCCGUUGGCGGUAAAUACGCCUUGACGGGCAGCUUCCCGGAAACGAAAGUUUUUCGGUUCCGGGGGAAGUAUGGUUGCAAAGCUGAAACUUAAAGAAAUUGACGGAAGGGCACCACCAGGAGUGGAGCCUGCGGCUUAAUUUGACUCAACACGGGAAAACUCACCUGGCCCGGACACCGUGAGGAUUGACAGAUUGAAAGCUCUUUCAUGAUUCGGUGGUUGGUGGUGCAUGGCCGUUCUUAGUUGGUGGAGUGAUUUGUCUGGUUUAUUCCGAUAACGAGCGAGACUCUAGCCUACUAAAUAGUUUAUGCUGGAUAAAUGUAUUCGUACGCUAGUCCAGACAACUUCUUAGAGGGACAAGCGGUGUUUAGCCGCAUGAAGUUGAGCAAUAACAGGUCUGUGAUGCCCUUAGAUGUCCAGGGC